UGAUGGCGGGAUGCUUGAAACCGUGUAGUCAAUUGAUAUGAACCUAGGCUGGUCUAGUGUUCUAUACCAAUCAUGAGAAGCAACACGCUCUUGGCAAUUGGGAUUGUUUAAAGUCAGCGAUGUCUUCGCCAUUAGAGCCAUCCGUCCUUGAAUAUGCACGAUUCCAUAACAUCGCUACUAGCGGCGUACAAGACCCACUCCUCCUGGUCCCACCAGUGAUUGAAGACAUAAACUUAUCUCUCCGUGACACGCCAAACUUUCCUUCCAUUGACUUAGAAACCAUUCAAAGUGAAAUACGGACCGGAACAAGGGAAAAGGUUGAUGCGAGCU
rnacentral:sRNA from 1 species